AUGGUGGUCGCGCUCGGUCCGGGCAGGUUCUACGGCGGCGGCCUCCCGCGCCCGCGCGUCUUCCCCGGCGACCGCGUCGACCCGCCGGCGCCCGUCACCGAUGCGCUGCUCUGCUGGGCGCGGGACGCGCACUGGUCCAUGGGCGGGCUCGGCGCCAAGCGCCUCCGCCUGCAGGGCCGCAUCGAGGGCAACCUCGUCAAGCUCCGCCGCACCGCGCGCCGCGACGCCAGGCCCUCCGCCAAGUCCAACCCCAAGGCCUCCAAGGCCAAGGUCCGCGCCGCCGGGCAUGGGCCCGCCCCUGCCACCCUCGACGACGCGCUCGGCUCCGACGACGACGACGACUCCGAGGACGAGGCCGAGGUCGCGGCCCAGGAGAAGGCGAUGCGGCGCGAGGUCGUGGAUGAUGACGAGGACUCCGAGUCCGGCGAGUCCGAUGGCGAGGGGGUGCCGCUCGUCACCAUCGCCGCCGCCGCAAAGCGGAAGCGCGUCAGGAAGCUCUCCGACGAGUUCGACCGCAUCGCCGCCGCGCAGCAGGAGGGCGGCGGGAAGAAGAAGCCCGCGGCCGCGGCUCCGGCCAAGGCGCCGAUGAGGAAGAAGCCUGCUGCUUCUGCUGCGGCGGCUCCUGCUCCGGCCGCUGAGGCACCGGCGAAGAAGUCGCUGAAGAGGAAGGCGGUUGCGCCGGCGGUGAGGACCUCACCGAAGAGGAAGGCUGCUGAGGCGCCGGCGGCAAGGAGGACCUCGCCGAGGUCGAAGCACUGA
rnacentral:rRNA from 1 species